rnacentral:lncRNA from 1 species
AAAAGCUGCAGUUCAACUGCUUUAGCAGAUGAUGUCUUCUCAUUUAUUCAAUGUCAAAUAAACUCUUUUUUUUUUUUGUAAUUUCUUGCUCAGAAUUUGCUUACCCACAGGAUAAUUCUACUUGGAAGGAGGAAAAUGGGGAACUUUUGGUUAGAUUAGGUUGUACUUCUUGGCCAAAAAAUCAGCAAAUUUUUCCCCAAAUUAUGCGUAGCCUUCGAUUCAUCUUAUAGAUAAUUCUUAC